rnacentral:rRNA from 1 species
UAAUGUAUGGGGAUCUGCCCGAGUAGAGGGGGGUAACUACUGGAAACGGUGGCUAAUACCGCAUAAUGUCUACGGACCAAAGCAGGGGCUCUUCGGACCUUGCACUAUCGGAUGAACCCAUAUGGGAUUAGCUAGUAGGUGGGGUAAAGGCUCACCUAGGCGACGAUCUCUAGCUGGUCUGAGAGGAUGAUCAGCCACACUGGGACUGAGACACGGCCCAG